AAACUGAAGAGUUUGAUCAUGGCUCAGAUUGAACGCUGGCGGCAGGCUUCAGACAUGCAAGUCGAGCGGAAACG
rnacentral:rRNA from 1 species